GCCAGGCGUGGUGGUGUAUGCUUGGAAUCCCAGCAGCUUGGGAGGCUGAGGUAGGAGGAUCACAAGUUCAAAAUUAGCUUCAGCAACUUAGUGAGGUCCUAAGCAACUUGGUGAGAUCCUGUCUCAA
rnacentral:sRNA from 1 species